rnacentral:rRNA from 1 species
GAAUUCGAUUCGGUGUGACAAGGCCCGGGAACGUAUUCACCGCGGCGUGCUGAUCCGCGAUUACUAGCGAUUCCAACUUCAUGGAGUCGAGUUGCAGACUCCAAUCCGAACUGAGAGCGGCUUUUUGGGAUUGGCUCCCCCUCGCGGGUUCGCGACCCUUUGUACCGCCCAUUGUAGCACGUGUGUGGCCCUGGACAUAAGGGCCAUGAUGACUUGACGUCGUCCCCACCUUCCUCCGGCUUAACGCCGGCAGUCCCCCUAGAGUGCCCAACUGAAUGGUGGCAACUAAGGGCGAGGGUUGCGCUCGUUGCGGGACUUAACCCAACACCUCACGGCACGAGCUGACGACAGCCAUGCAGCACCUGAACCGGCGGUCCCCGAAGGGAAGGCCCUAUUUCUAGGACUGUCCGCCGUUGUCUAGCCCAGGUAAGGUUCUUCGCGUUAAUCACUA